AUGAAACUCAUAUGCUGGAACUGCCGUGGCAUGGCCAGUGCUGCGGCAGAAAGAGCUCUUCUGGAUGUCCAGAAGCAGUGGGGGCCGGAUGUCGUCUUCCUGUCUGAGACGCAUCUGAACAAAGCUAAGGCAGGGAAACUAUGGAGGAAAUUAAAAAUGGAUUGUAUGGAAGUGCAUGAGAGUAAUGGAGAAAGCGGGGGCCUGCUUCUUUUUUGGAGGAGACCUGUGGCAAUACAGUUGAGAGAUAAAGAUAAAAACUUCAUAGAUGUUAUGGUGGGAGAUGGUACAGAUGAGGUAUGGAGGUUUACGAGCUUCUACGGGGAGCCGAGGUGGGAAGACAAGCACUUGUCGUGGUCGUGCUUGCGUCAUCUACACCAGUGA
rnacentral:rRNA from 1 species